rnacentral:rRNA from 1 species
CUAGGACGAACGCUGGCGGCGUGCCUAAUACAUGCAAGUCGAACGGUCUUUCUAUGGAAGCUUGCUUCCACUGAAAAGAUAGUGGCGAACGGGUGAGUAACACGUGGGUAACCUGCCCAUAAGAGGGGGAUAACAUCCGGAAACGGGUGCUAAUACCGCAUAGUUUUCUUGAUCGCAUGAUCGGGAAAGGAAAGACGGCCUUUGUGCUGUCGCUUAUGGAUGGACCCGCGGCGUAUUAGUUAGUUGGUGAGGUAACGGCUCACCAAGACGAUGAUACGUAGCCGACCUGAGAGGGUGAUCGGCCACAUUGGGACUGAGACACGGCCCAAACUCCUACGGGAGGCAGCAGUAGGGAAUCUUCCGCAAUGGACGAAAGUCUGACGGAGCAACGCCGCGUGAGUGAAAGAAGGUUUUCGGAUCGUAAAACUCUGUUGUCAGAGAAGAACAAGUUGGAGAGUAACUGCUCCAGCCUUGACGGUAUCUGACCAGAAAGCCACGGCUAACUACGUGCCAGCCGCCGC